UGUAGCUCAGUGGCAAAGCGUUUACCUACCAAGUACAAUGCCCUGGGUUCGAUCCCCAGUA
rnacentral:tRNA from 1 species